rnacentral:rRNA from 1 species
CCUGCUACUCCCUGGCUGUCCCCGUUAUGGAAAGCCCCCGUACCUUUAAAGAUUAAGAUUUUUGUUUGGCAACUACUACGGGAUCGCAUUCCCUCGGGGACAGAGGUAGUUAGGCGGCAUGAACCUGGCGAUGGUCUAUGCUCCCUCUGUGCAGUACCUGAGACUGGGACCCAUAUCCUCUUCUCUUGUAUGGCGGCAAGGGUAAUAUGGACUUACGUCCAUGAGGCAUUGGGGCCCGACUGGGAGGCCCUAACUCGCGGAGUUUCUCCAACAUAG